UACGUAGGUGGCAAGCGUUGUCCGGAUUUAUUGGGCGUACAGGGCGCGCAGGCGGUUCGUUAGGUUCGAGGUGAAAUCUCUUGGCUCAACUGGGAGAGGUCUUCGGAUACCGGCGGACUUGAGGAGAGCAGAGGUGAGUGGAAUUCUGGGUGUAGUGGUGAAAUGCGUAGAUAUCCAGAGGAACACCAGUGGCGAAGGCGGAUCUCUGGGCCAUUACUGACGCUGAGGAGCGAAAGCGUGGGGAGCGAACAGG
rnacentral:rRNA from 1 species